UACGUAGGGGGCAAGCGUUGUCCGGAUUUAUUGGGCGUAAAGAGCGUGUAGGCGGCCAGGUAGGUCUGGUGUGAAAACUCGAGGCUUAACCUCGAGAUGUCAUCGGAAACCAUCUGGCUAGAGUCCGGAAGAGGAGAGUGGAAUUUCCGGUGUAGCGGUGAAAUGCGUAGAUAUCGGAAGGAACACCUGUGGCGAAAGCGGCUCACUGGACCAUAACUGACGCUGAGGCGCGAAAGCUAGGGGAGCAAACAGG
rnacentral:rRNA from 1 species